rnacentral:rRNA from 1 species
UACAGAGGUGGCAAGCGUUGUUCGGAAUUACUGGGCGUAAAGGGCGCGUAGGCGGCUUUCUAAGUCAGACGUGAAAUCCCCCGGCUUAACCUGGGAACUGCGUCUGAUACUGGGAGGCUUGAAUGCGGGAGAGGGAUGUAGAAUUCCAGGUGUAGCGGUGAAAUGCGUAGAUAUCUGGAGGAAUACCGGUGGCGAAGGCGGCUCUCUGGACCACAACUGACGCUGAGGCGCGAAAGCUAGGGGAGCAAACAGG